rnacentral:rRNA from 1 species
GACGAACGCUGGCGGCGUGCUUAACACAUGCAAGUCGAACGGAAAGGCCCUGCUUUUGUGGGGUGCUCGAGUGGCGAACGGGUGAGUAACACGUGAGUAACCUGCCCUUGACUUUGGGAUAACUUCAGGAAACUGGGGCUAAUACCGGAUAGGAGCUCCUGCUGCAUGGUGGGGGUUGGAAAGUUUCGGCGGUUGGGGAUGGACUCGCGGCUUAUCAGCUUGUUGGUGGGGUAGUGGCUUACCAAGGCUUUGACGGGUAGCCGGCCUGAGAGGGUGACCGGGGGGAUUGGGAAUGAGAGAAGGGGGAGAGGGCGACGGGAGGCAGCAGGGGGGGAGGGGGAACAGUGGGGGGGAGCCGGAGGCGGCGAGCGCGGGUGCGGGAGGAGGGGCUGCGGGGAGGAAAAAGCAAGCGCCGGUGACGAAGCGGGAGGGAGGGUGAUGAGUAAAGAAGCACCGGCUAACUACGUG